CUUCCUCCCUGGGCCCCAGUCUCCUCAUCCAUAAAAUGGGAUAAUGGUGGUCUAUACAGCUCAUGAGAUCUUUGGGUUGUUGUGAGGAUUAAAUGAGUUUAUAGUAAAAUGCUUAAAACAUGCUGCGUUCUCAUUAGUUAUCCGUGCUCAUGAUAGCAAGACAUCAGGUGACAUUGUGUGAGUGGCUGGUGGCUCAGAGCUCCCCCUGGGUAAGUCAUUUCAGGGAAAAGCACCUUGGACUCUGCCAACAGGAUCUUUUUGUGAGUGUCAUGAGGUUAGAAUGAAAGGGUUUCGUAAAGUGUAUGCGAAUGGGAUUGUUAUGACUAAGCCCCAAAUGUUAUUCUCCUUGAUCUGUCUCAAGAUGGGUCCUGGGACUCUGGCUUUUCACCACCUAAAGAAAACAACUCUAGAUGCCUGUCUGAGGGGUGGCCCUGCCUGUUCUUGGGAGAAGGUCCAGCCUGGCCACAGAAGUGCUCUCAGAAACUUCAGAGAAACCCUACUGGAAAUUUAACAUCACCCACUUUGUAAGCAGUGGAGCCAGGAUUCAAAUCCCAGUCCAGUCAUGGUCCGAGGUGAGCUUCAUCAGGUCCCUCAGCGAAGAGAUGAAUCUACUUGUGGCAGAAAACACCCAUGAGCUUUACGGGAAGAGAAAGUGGAAGAGAGAAGGACAGACAGAAAUAUCAAUGUGAGAGAAGC